rnacentral:rRNA from 1 species
UACAGAGACUGCAAGCGUUUAUUCGGAUUCACUGGGCGUAAAGGGUGCGCAGGCGGCCGUGUGUGUCAGGUGUGAAAGCCCGGAGCUUAACUCCGGAAUUGCGCCUGAAACUACAUGGCUAGAGCAUUGGAGAGGGUAGCGGAAUUCACGGUGUAGCAGUGAAAUGGCGUAGAUAUCGUGAGGAACACCAGAGGCGAAGGCGGCUACCUGGACAAUUGCUGACGCUCAGGCACGAAAGCGUGGGGAGCAAAAGGG